ensembl:snRNA U6 U6 spliceosomal RNA
GUGCUUUUGCUUCAGCAGCACAUAUACUAAAAUUGGAACAAUACAGAAAAGAUUAGCAUGGCCCCUGCCCAAGGAUGACUCACAAAUUCAUGAAGUGUUCUAGUAAUUU